AUGUCACACCCAGUUUUGGGGUGCGGACUCCAAUUCCCAGUAUCCCCUGGGGUGCCACGCCCUAAUUUUGGGGUGUCACACCCUGAUUUUGUGGUGUCCCACCCUGAUUUUGGGGUGUCACACCCAGUUUUGGGGUGUCCCACCCUGAUUUUGGAGUGCAGAUUCCAAUUCCGAGCAUCCCCCGGGGUGCCACGCCGUCAUUUUGGGGUGUCACACCCAAUUUUGGGGCGUCACACCCAAUUUUGGGGCAUCACACCCGGUUUUUGGGUGUCACACCCGAUUUUGGGGUGCGGACUCCAACUCCCAGCAUCCCCCGGGGUGCCACACAGUGAUUCUGGGAUGUCACACUCCGGUUUUGGGGUGUCACACCCAAUUUUUGGGCGUCCCACCCUGGUUUUGGGGUGUCCCACCCGGUUUUGGGAUGUCACACCCAAUUUUGUGGUGCGGACUCCAACUCCCAGCAUGCCCCGGGGUUCCGGGCCCGGUUUUAGGGUGAAGACUCCAACUCCCAGCAUGCCCCGGGGUUCCGGGCCCGGUUUGGGGGCGCGGACUCCAACUCCCAGCAUGCCCCGGGGUUCCGGGCCCGCCCCUUCCGGCGGCGCGGGGGCCGCGGGGCCGCGCCAUGAGCUCAGGUCAGGAACCGGCACCGGGAAUGGGAUCGGGAAUGGGAUCGGGAUCGGGAAUGGGAUCGGGAUCGGGAAUGGGAUCGGGGUCGGGAUCAGGGACCGGGAUCCCCUGAACGCCCGGAGCCCCUCGGAGCCCAAAAGCGCCGCCGGGGGCUGCCGGGGCCGCUCCAGCCCAGCGCGGGGGGGCGGGACCGCUGCGGCUCCGGUCCCAUUUAUUCCAUUUAUUCCCCUUUAUCCCCAUUUAUUACCCUUUAUUCCCAUUAUUCCCAUUUAUUCCCGUUUAUCCCCAUGUAUUCCCAUUUAUUCCCGUUUAUCCCCAUUUAUUCCCGUUUAUCUCCAUGUAUUCCCAUUUAUUCCCCUUUAUCCCCAUUUAUUCCCGUUUAUUUCCGUUUAUCCCCAUUUAUUCCCCUUUAUCCCCAUUUAUCCCCAUUUAUUCCCAUUUAUUCCCGUUUAA
rnacentral:lncRNA from 1 species